rnacentral:rRNA from 1 species
UACAGAGGGUGCGAGCGUUGUUCGGAAUUACUGGGCGUAAAGCGCGCGCAGGCGGCUCUUUAAGUCCACUGGUCAAGUGCCGGGGCUCAACCCCGUGCCCGCCAGGGAUACUGGAGAGCUGGAGACACGUAGAGGCAAGCGGAAUUCCGGGUGUAGCGGUGGAAUGCGUAGAGAUCCGGAAGAACACCGGAGGCGAAGGCGGCUUGCUGGGCGUAGUCUGACGCUGAGGCGCGAAAGCGUGGGGAGCGAACAGG